GUAUAAUAUGACGUCUCAUAAUUAAAUAAUAUGAUUUUUUUUUUUUUUUAAAAUGUUUUUACUAAAAAUAGUAGUAUAAUAGUGGUAUUAUAACAGACAGUACACGGUAUUAAUAUUAUAUUAUUAUAUAUUAUUAUCAAAUCGCCACGAGCGGAACAACACACGCGCGCGCGCGCGCGCGAGUCAUUUUUUUACCGUACGUGCGUAUAGUGCGUAUAUGUGUGUGUGUGUGUGUGUGUGUGUGUGUAUGCGUGUGCGUGUGUGUAUUGCACGGCUACUAAAAAAAAAAAAAAAAAUAAAUAAAAAAAACGAAUUAUUACACUGGUGCGCGUACCUAUAUACACACUGCAACAACCACAACAACAACAACAAACAAUAAUUAUAUUUGAUAAUAAUAUACGUAAUAAUAUGUGUAAUACGGUGUACCUACAUCGUAUAAUAUUAUUAUAUAUAGGAGAGGAAAUAUUAAUAAAUAGGUACAAUUAUGUAUAAUGUUAUUAUAUCAUAGUGAAUAAGGGGUGGGCGGUGAUGGGGGUUGGGGGGACGUGCAAUAUUAUUAUAAGCGUAUAAACGGUUAUCAUAGGUAAUAAUUGUGUUAUUAUACAUUAUAUUGUUAGCCGACGCAAAGUUAGAGCGGUUGGAGGGGCGGCAAUAAUAAGGGGCGGUAAUAAUAAACGGAAAAAAAAAAAACCAUACAUUUUCUAUAAAUACGAACGGCUUAUAAUAAUAAUAUAAUAUCAUAAGGGCGAUGGUAAUAGAUGACAAUAUCGGCCGUAUUUUACCAGCGGCGGGGAGAGGAAGCAG